rnacentral:lncRNA from 1 species
UUGGAAUACUUAGAUCUGAGAAAAUGACUCUUCUGAGGACUGAGGACUGUUGUUUUCUUCCAGCUGUACUAUGGAGUCCCACUUCAGAAUGCUGUGCUAAAAGAGAAGAGGAAGAGAUGAGUCAUCAGAGUCCACUGCCAGGACAGAAGUCAAGAUGACUCAUGAUGAUCUGGGAUACAGUGGAUGAUUUUGGCAUCUUCAGUGGAUGAUGCUGGCAUCUUUGAUGUCAGGCCAAGCUCUAAGCACUCCACGAUUCCUAUUUCAACUGCCUUCAUAACCAGUGGAAUGAAUCAUUCUUAUUUCUUCAUGUGAAAUGUGAUAUGAUCCUCAGUGUUCCUAAUCAUCCCUUGAAAACUAUAUUUGACUGACUAUUCAGACUAUUAAUGGGAUCUAUUAUGGAAUAAAUAGUUGGAAAUCAAGGAACUUGAGUUCUAG